rnacentral:rRNA from 1 species
GUAAACGGCGGCCGUAACUAUAACGGUCCUAAGGUAGCGAAAUUCCUUGUCGGGCAAGUUCCGACCUGCACGAAUGGCAUAAUGAUGGCCACACUGUCUCCUCCUGAGACUCAGUGAAGUUGAAAUGUUUGUGAUGAUGCAAUCUCCCCGCGGCUAGACGGAAAGACCCCAUGAACCUUUACUGCAGCUUUGCAUUGGACUUUGAACCGAUCUGUGUAGGAUAGGUGGGAGGCAGUGAAGCUAGGACGCCAGUCUUAGCGGAGCCAACCUUGAAAUACCACCCUGAUUUGUUUGAGGUUCUAACCUAGGAGCGUAAUCCGCUUCGGGGACCGUGCAUGGUAGGCAGUUUGACUGGGGCGGUCUCCUCCUAAAGGGUAACGGAGGAGUGCGAAGGUACGCUAGGUACGGUCGGAAAUCGUGCUGAUAGUGCAAUGGCAAAAGCGUGCUUGACUGCGAGACCGACAAGUCGAGCAGAUACGAAAGUAGGUCAUAGUGAUCCGGUGGCUCUGCAUGGAAGGGCCAUCGCUCAACGGAUAAAAGGUACUCUGGGGAUAACAGGCUGAUACCGCCCAAGAGUUCAUAUCGACGGCGGUGUUUGGCACCUCGAUGUCGGCUCAUCUCAUCCUGGGGCUGUAGCCGGUCCCAAGGGUAUGGCUGUUCGCCAUUUAAAGAGGUACGUGAGCUGGGUUUAAAACGUCGUGAGACAGUUUUGUCCCUAUCUGCCGUGGGCGUUGGAAGAUUGACGGGGGCUGCUCCUAGUACGAGAGGACCGGAGUGGACUCACCUCUGGUGUACCGGUUGUCACGCCAGUGGCAUCGCCGGGUAGCUAUGUGGGGAAAGGAUAACCGCUGAAAGCAUCUAAGCGGGAAACCUGCCUGAAGAUAAGUCUUCCUGGAGGCUUUGACCUCCCUGAAGAGUCGUUCGAGACCAGGACGUUGAUAGGUUGGAUGUGCAAGCGCUGUGAGGCGUUGAGCUGACCAAUACUAAUUGCUCGUGAAGCUUGAUCCU